CCUACGGGAGGCAGCAGUGAGGAAUAUUGGUCAAUGGACGAGAGUCUGAACCAGCCAAGUAGCGUGAAGGAUGACUGCCCUAUGGGUUGUAAACUUCUUUUAUAUGGGAAUAAAAUGUUCCACGUGUGGGAUUUUGUAUGUACCAUAUGAAUAAGGAUCGGCUAACUCCGUGCCAGCAGCCGCGGUAAUACGGAGGAUCCGAGCGUUAUCCGGAUUUAUUGGGUUUAAAGGGAGCGUAGGUGGAUUGUUAAGUCAGUUGUGAAAGUUUGCGGCGCAACCGUAAAAUUGCAGUUGAAACUGGCAGUCGUGAGUACAGUAGAGGUGGGCGGAAUUCGUGGUGUAGCGGUGAAAUGCGUAGAUAUCACGAAGAACUCCGAUUGCGAAGGCAGCUCACUGGACUGCAACUGACACUGAGGCUCGAAAGUGUGGGUAUCAAACAGGAUUAGAUACCCCGGUAGUC
rnacentral:rRNA from 1 species